AGAGCGGGCCGGGCGGCCGCCCGGGGCAUGAUCUCCGGGAGGAAAGUCCGAACUGGCCAGGGCACGGUGAUGGCUAACGGCCACCGGCAGCAAUGCCAGGGAAAGUGCCACAGAAAAGACACCGCCGCCCGCGGGAAGGGUUUCGGCCCGACCGCGGAGGCAAGGGUGAAAAGGUGCGGUAAGAGCGCACCGCGCGUCCGGUGACGGGCGCGGCAGGGUAAACCCCACUGCCAGCAAGCCCGCGUAGGCAACGAAGAGGCGACGGCGCACCCGGAUUCACUGGGAUCCCAGGCGCCGCCACGCUUCGCGAGGCGGCCCGUCUCGCGCGUCCGCGCCGCAGGUCGGCCGGGCGCAUCGUUGCGGGUAGGGUGCAGGAGCCGGCGGGUAACCGCCGGCCUAGAGAAAUGGUCGCCGCCCGCGCGCGAGCGUGGGAACAGAAUUCGGCUUAUGGCCCGCUCUGCCG
rnacentral:RNase_P_RNA from 1 species